rnacentral:rRNA from 1 species
AUUAGACGAAUCAUCUGGAAAGAUGAAUCAAAGAAGGUAAUAAUCCUGUAGUCGAAAAUGUUGUCUCUCUUGAGUGGAUCCUGAGUACGACGGAGCACGUGAAAUUCCGUCGGAAUCUGGGAGGACCAUCUCCUAAGGCUAAAUACUCUCUAGUGACCGAUAGUGAACCAGUACCGUGAGGGAAAGGUGAAAAGCACCCCGGAAGGGGAGUGAAAUAGAACCUGAAACCGUGUGCUUACAAGUAGUCAGAGCCCGUUAAUGGGUGAUGGCGUGCCUUUUGUAGAAUGAACCGGCGAGUUACGAUUUGAUGCAAGGUUAAGCAGUAAAUGUGGAGCCGUAGCGAAAGCGAGUCUGAAUAGGGCGUUUAGUAUUUGGUCGUAGACCCGAAACCAGGUGAUCUACCCUUGGUCAGGUUGAAGUUCAGGUAACACUGAAUGGAGGACCGAACCGACUUACGUUGAAAAGUGAGCGGAUGAACUGAGGGUAGCGGAGAAAUUCCAAUCGAACCUGGAGAUAGCUGGUUCUCUCCGAAAUAGCUUUAGGGCUAGCCUCAAGUGAUGAUUAUUGGAGGUAGAGCACUGUUUGGACGAGGGGCCCCUCUCGGGUUACCGAAUUCAGACAAACUCCGAAUGCCAAUUAAUUUAACUUGGGAGUCAGAACAUGGGUGAUAAGGUCCGUGUUCGAAAGGGAAACAGCCCAGACCACCAGCUAAGGUCCCAAAAUAUAUGUUAAGUGGAAAAGGAUGUGGCGUUGCCCAGACAACUAGGAUGUUGGCUUAGAAGCAGCCAUCAUUUAAAGAGUGCGUAAUAGCUCACUAGUCGAGUGACACUGCGCCGAAAAUGUACCGGGGCUAAACAUAUUACCGAAGCUGUGGAUUGUCCUUUGGACAAUGGUAGGAGAGCGUUCUAAGGGCGUUGAAGCAUGAUCGUAAGGACAUGUGGAGCGCUUAGAAGUGAGAAUGCCGGUGUGAGUAGCGAAAGACGGGUGAGAAUCCCGUCCACCGAUUGACUAAGGUUUCCAGAGGAAGGCUCGUCCGCUCUGGGUUAGUCGGGUCCUAAGCUGAGGCCGACAGGCGUAGGCGAUGGAUAACAGGUUGAUAUUCCUGUACCACCUAUAAUCGUUUUAAUCGAUGGGGGGACGCAGUAGGAUAGGCGAAGCGU